UAGCCUAAAUUGGGAAUGAAAGGUAGAGAGAGAACUAAGAGGCGAAACUGUUCUUCUUCCAAAACACUUUAGAAAUUCAGGAAAAUGGAAAACGAUCAGAGACUUCCGGCCAAUAUGAUUUCCCAGACUUAUUUAAUAGUUUUGAAAUCGGAUAAUUUCAGUACGUGGAAGUAAUGGAACAUUUAGAAAAGUAUAACCACUGGGAGUUGCAAGGUGAUAGAAAGGGAGUCUGCCGAAAGACAAUAUAUGAUAAAGACUGAAAUUGGUGGAUAAUAGCUACGACAAAGGUAGUAAAAGGGAUAGGUUGGUGUAUUUCCUGUUAGAGACGCUGCAAAAGGGAUUGAUUGGUUUCGAUUGGUUCAGUAUUAUCUCAAGGUAUUAUUCUGUUUUUCAUUUGAUGUUCACCAACCUCAAUAACUUUACAACUAAAAUGUUUGAUAUCGUGACUGAAUGAAAACAAAUAUAUGAUUAAAGGUGUUGCAACUGUUUUUUGAAAAGAAGCACCAACCUCUUUUGGCAACUUCAGAUACUCAUAAGCUAGACGGGAAGAAUCAACCUGAAUACAAUGACAUACUAGGAAUGAUCAUAACUAGAUUCAUAUGUGGUUUAUAGCUCUUUUUAUGAUAUUUGUCUUUUGUUUGAAAUGUGAUGAUAAUUGAGAUGAUCCAUCACUGGAUGUUAAGUCAAUCACGAAGUGUCUUACAAUUGUAUUUUUAAAGGUAUGGCAUGAGAGAUCUUAGUUUUUUAGUGUUGGCCUUGAAUUUGUGUGUUUGCGACGCAUCAUAACAUUUGCCUAUUUUGUCAACAACAACAAAAAAGAUGGCAUUAGUGUAAUGAGGGUGUUUUAUUAUUGGAACUUAUUCGUGGAUUUGGCCCAUUUGGGUUUUCGCUUAUUGGCAUGACAGUUUUGAUAACUGAAACUUGCAUCAGUUGAGAGUGUUUGCAUUUGCGACCGAUGCUGGCGACGCUUGACGCACAACCGUGAGAUCUGAAAGAAUUAAUUUUUGGUAUUAAUUAGAUCCCCUUUACAUUAUGCAUACUAAGAUGCCAGAUUUUACAAAAAAUCUUUAGUUCUGGAAUUUUAAUCCAUGUCCUUUUCUAACAAUUUAGCCUUAAUCCUCACAAGUUAUGUAGUCUCAAGGUGUUAUCUUCUUGUUGCAGCCAUAUGGAUUUGUUGAUGGUAAAUCCGAGAGGAAACUUACUUGAAAGGGUUAGAUAGCGGUAUCGAAGGCAUGCGAGUGGCAGACUAGGCUAGAUAUGUCAAAAAUCAAUUCUAUUGGUCUAUUUUAUGAAUUCUCAUACAGAGAGAAAACAACUUUGCUGGAUAAGUAUACCGUUUUACCAUUAUGUGAGUGGCAGACCAUGUUUGGCUAACUUAGGUUAUAUAAAAAGUGGUUUAAAUGAUUUGUUUUUGUAGAAGAUAAAUCUAUGGCUGUGGUUGACUCCUUGAAACACAUUUUACACCCGUAUUUUUCCUGACUAGCAUUAUAAUUUCUUAGACCCUUCAUUUCGAUGAUCAAGAUGAAUGUGUUUCCUUUAAUUGAGUCUUUGGGUGUUCUUCCCUGCUAAACAGAUCUCUCACUUCCCCUAGGAAUUUCUAGAUUACAUUUCUUCCAUUUCAAUUUUCUCUCGAUAUCUCUUUGGCAUAUUACUAUCCGAGUUCCUUCAAAUCAGAGACAACAUUUGUUUGAUUCCUUUAAGUCAUUCCACUUUUGUGAUUUCAUUUAGGUUUUUUUUAGUAUAAGGUGGUGGUUCUAAUUAUUUUAGUUAGGGAAGCAAGUGUCACUUAUGAAGGAAUCAAAUUCAGCCUUUUCUGUUUCUCUGGAUUCGUCAUAGACCCAAAAUAUGUGUAAGUAAUCCUUCUUUAUCUUCUUUCUCUCUUUACUGAUCUUUAUUACGAUAGAUUUUAAAAUUAUAAGACUGAUAUUUGGGUUAGAUUUUUGGAGAAUUCAUAGUGUCUGUAACCUUACUUGAGUGGAUUGAAUUAUAUUGCUCAUAACUAAUUCACUGACUGUUUCAAAGGAUAAUCUUGGUCAUCCAAGAAUCUAGCUUCUUUGUCAUGGAACUUUUUUUUUCUCUUCUUGAGUGUAUGUCGUACUAUGUAUAGAGUUAUACACAUUAACUUUGUUUGGGAAGCAUUGAGUACUCUUAUUUAUGUGCAUCGGGUUUUUUCGUCCAACUACACAGUUGGCAGCUUGAUUUAUAUGGACUCAUCCUAUUACCUAAUUUUGUUUUCUUUGUUAUGGAGCUCAUGCAUAUAACCAAAGAAUGAUAGCUGCUGAUAUGCUUUUGGAUUAAUACCAUUUUUCUUAAGGAAACCUAUCACCGGUUUAUGACAGCAGUGGCAGGAACUUUAAAAUGAAAUUAUUUUUUUGUUGGUGGAACAUUGAAAUGAAUUGAUUUUAUGUAAUCGUGUACUUAGUUAUUGAAGGCGGGCAUAAAAAUCACUGCUUCAGAGAUGAAUGCAAGAACUUAAAGGAAUUGUAAAUCAUGUCGGUGGAAGUGUGAAGCGUAUGUCGUUUCAUGUAGCCAUUGGUGAGGUACUGCUAUAUGUUUGCAUCGAAUCUUCCGGUUUCCCAUAUAUUUGGCUCCCAUGGAAUAGGACCAUCUGUAUAGACGUCGCAGGCUUGUAGCACAAAGAAAGAAAGUCUAACAAAAGAAAGGACAUGUGCUUCAUGUUGGAACAAUCUACGGUUUACCAUACAUAGAGAGAGAUAGGAAUGCAAUCACUUAAGGCCCUUUUGAAGUUCAACUGUAUGAAGUAGUUCUUGGUUACAUUGUAGUUUAUACAUGCCUGACAACAUUCUGGUUAAUUAACUGUGUACCAUUGAUCUAAUACAAGCGUUUUAUUGAAUUACGAAGAUCUAAUUUUUCUACUUA